UAGCACAGGUGAUCGCGCCUGUUCAGACGAAAGGGAGCAGGUGAGGAAAGUCCGAGCUUCACAGGGCAGGAUGCCGGAUAACGUCCGGUGGAGGUGACUCCCAGGCAAGUGCAACAGAAAUAAACCGCCAUGGUAAGACCGUGGUAAGGGUGGAAUGGCGAGGUAAGAGCUCACCGCCUCACUGGUAACAGGGAGGGCACAUGUAAACCCCAUCCGAAGCAAGACCGAAUAGAGAGCGAUACGGCGGCCCGUCGUGCUUUCGGGUAGGUCGCUAGAGCCUGUUGGCAACAGCAGGACCAGAUAGAUGAUCAUCCAACGACAGAACUCGGCUUAUCGUGUUACUC
rnacentral:RNase_P_RNA from 1 species